CAUUAUGUAGCUUAACCAAAGCAUCUCGCUUACACCGAGAAGACAUCUGUGAAAGCCAGAUCAUUUUGA
rnacentral:tRNA from 1 species